rnacentral:rRNA from 1 species
CAGUAGCCACGGGAAUACAGAGGGUGCGAGCGUUAAUCGGAUUUACUGGGCGUAAAGCGUGCGUAGGCGGCUUCUUAAGUCGGAUGUGAAAUCCCUGAGCUUAACUUAGGAAUUGCAUUCGAUACUGGGAAGCUAGAGUAUGGGAGAGGAUGGUAGAAUUCCAGGUGUAGCGGUGAAAUGCGUAGAGAUCUGGAGGAAUACCGGUGGCGAAGGCGGCCCCCUGGACAAAGACUGACGCUCAGGUGCGAAAGCGUGGGGAGCAAACAGGAUUAGAUACCCCAGUAGUCCCUGUCUCUUAUCC